CGUUCGCUCGUUGACCUCGCUGCGCAACGCGUGCUCAUCCACCCAUCCUCUUCCUCUCCCUCUUCCCACGCGCAGUCCCAUCGCCGGUGCGUCAAACGCGCUGCCCCGAACCCCGUCGCGGGGCGCUGCCCGCGCCGCCAGGAGCCCCGCCACCGCGUGCCGCCCCGAGCCAACGCCGUGCGCUGCCCAGGCCUCCGCCGCGCCGGCCCGAUCCACCGCCGCGCGCCGCCCCUGCCUCCCCUUGGCUUCCGCGCUGCCCCGAGCCACCGCCUCGCCCUGCCCCGACCUCCCCCGCGAGCUCUGCCGCCCCGAGCCCCGCCACCGCCGCGAGCCCGGCCGUCCCGCCCGCGCGCUGCCCGCGCCGCACCGAGCCACCGCCAUGAGCCCUGCCACCGCGCGCUGCCCUGGCGGCCACCUCCGCGAGCCCAGCCGGUCGUGCCCUCGCGCUGCCCCUGCCGCCGUGCGCUGCUGCAGCAUCCGCCCUAGCUCUGCAACGAACAGCCGCUGACGCGCGUCACCACGAGCCGUCCGCGCCGCCGCCACGAGCAAUACCUGUAGCCGCCGUGGCCCGUGGCUGCUUCCUAGUCCUAUCCGGCCGCCACGUGUCGGUGAGUGUUUGUGUGGGGUCGUUUUGAAUGCAGGCAGUAGCUCGAUUUGGAGUGGACUAGAUAAGGGAUGCAGCGGUGUGUGUUAGAUUUUGACCAAAUUGCAAGAACAUGGCAACUCGUAUUCAUUAGGGUUGGCAACUCGUCUGCAUCGAGGGUGGCAACUCGUGUUUAUCGAGGGUGGCAAUUCGUGUUCAUCAGAGAUGCCAAUUUGUGUGCAUUUAGAGCUGUCAAUUUGUGUUCGUUAGGGACAACAUGAAGAUAGGAUUUGUAUGGAUCAUUUUAACAGUUGACAGUUUGUAUUCAUUGGGCUGGCAAUUUGUGUGCAUUUGGGUUGGCAAAUUGUAUUUAAUGAGGCUGUCAAUUUUGUAUGCAUUGAGGGGGAUAAUUUGUAUUUAUUAUGGCUGGCAAUUUGUAUGCAUUCGGGCUGGCAAUUUGUGUUUGUUAGGGGUGCUAACUUUUGUCCAUUGAGGCUUGCAUUUUGUGUUCAUCAGGGAUGACAAUUGUGUUUGUUAGGGGCAACAAGGAGAUAUGGUUUGUUUGUUUGGAGGUGGUAACUCGAUUUGAAGUGGAGAAGAUGCAAGAUGCGGUGACGAGUGAUAGAUUUUGACCUUGGUGUACGGACAUGGUUAUUUGUGUUUAUUAGAUGGUGACAAUUUGUCUGCAUAUUGUGGCGAUUUAUGUGCAUUAAGAGUGUCAAUUUGUGUUCAUUAA